rnacentral:rRNA from 1 species
AGAGUUUGAUCCUGGCUCAGGACGAACGCUGGCGGCGUGCUUAACACAUGCAAGUCGAACGGAAAGGCCCUGCUUUUGUGGGGUGCUCGAGUGGCGAACGGGUGAGUAACACGUGAGUAACCUGCCCUUGACUUUGGGAUAACUUCAGGAAACUGGGGCUAAUACCGGAUAGGAGCUCCUGCUGCAUGGUGGGGGUUGGAAAGUUUCGGCGGUUGGGGAUGGACUCGCGGCUUAUCAGCUUGUUGGUGGGGUAGUGGCUUACCAAGGCUUUGACGGGUAGCCGGCCUGAGAGGGUGACCGGCCACAUUGGGACUGAGAUACGGCCCAGACUCCUACGGGAGGCAGCAGUGGGGAAUAUUGCACAAUGGGCGGAAGCCUGAUGCAGCAACGCCGCGUGCGGGAUGACGGCCUUCGGGUUGUAAACCGCUUUCGCCUGUGACGAAGCGUGAGUGACGGUAAUGGGUAAAGAAGCACCGGCUAACUACGUGCCAGCAGCCGCGGUGAUACGUAGGGUGCGAGCGUUGUCCGGAUUUAUUGGGCGUAAAGGGCUCGUAGGUGGUUGAUCGCGUCGGAAGUGUAAUCUUGGGGCUUAACCCUGAGCGUGCUUUCGAUACGGGUUGACUUGAGGAAGGUAGGGGAGAAUGGAAUUCCUGGUGGAGCGGUGGAAUGCGCAGAUAUCAGGAGGAACACCAGUGGCGAAGGCGGUUCUCUGGGCCUUUCCUGACGCUGAGGAGCGAAAGCGUGGGGAGCGAACAGGCUUAGAUACCCUGGUAGUCCACGCUGUAAACGGUGGGUACUAGGUGUGGGGUCCAUUCCACGGGUUCCGUGCCGUAGCUAACGCUUUAAGUACCCCGCCUGGGGAGUACGGCCGCAAGGCUAAAACUCAAAGGAAUUGACGGGGCCCCGCACAAGCGGCGGAGCAUGCGGAUUAAUUCGAUGCAACGCGUAGAACCUUACCUGGGUUUGACAUGGAUCGGGAGUGCUCAGAGAUGGGUGUGCCUCUUUUGGGGUCGGUUCACAGGUGGUGCAUGGCUGUCGUCAGCUCGUGUCGUGAGAUGUUGGGUUAAGUCCCGCAACGAGCGCAACCCUUGUUCACUGUUGCCAGCACGUUAUGGUGGGGACUCAGUGGAGACCGCCGGGGUCAACUCGGAGGAAGGUGGGGAUGACGUCAAGUCAUCAUGCCCCUUAUGUCCAGGGCUUCACGCAUGCUACAAUGGCUGGUACAGAGAGUGGCGAGCCUGUGAGGGUG